AGAGUUUGAUCCUGGCUCAGGAUGAACGCUGGCGGCGUGCUUAACACAUGCAAGUCGAACGGAAAGGCCACAGCUUGCUGUGGUACUCGAGUGGCGAACGGGUGAGUAACACGUGGGUGAUCUGCCCUGUACUUCGGGAUAAGCUUGGGAAACUGGGUCUAAUACCGGAUAUGAAUCACAUGUGGGUGUGUGGUUGGAAAGCUUUUGCGGUAUGGGAUGAGCUCGCGGCCUAUCAGCUUGUUGGUGGGGUAAUGGCCUACCAAGGCGUCGACGGGUAGCCGGCCUGAGAGGGUGUACGGCCACAUUGGGACUGAGAUACGGCCCAGACUCCUACGGGAGGCAGCAGUGGGGAAUAUUGCACAAUGGGCGCAAGCCUGAUGCAGCGACGCCGCGUGGGGGAUGACGGCCUUCGGGUUGUAAACUCCUUUCGCCAGGGACGAAGCGUUGUGUGACGGUACCUGGAGAAGAAGCACCGGCUAACUACGUGCCAGCAGCCGCGGUAAUACGUAGGGUGCGAGCGUUGUCCGGAAUUACUGGGCGUAAAGAGCUCGUAGGUGGUUUGUCGCGUCGUUUGUGUAAGUCCAUGGCUUAACUGUGGGACUGCAGGCGAUACGGGCAUAACUUGAGUGCUGUAGGGGAGACUGGAAUUCCUGGUGUAGCGGUGAAAUGCGCAGAUAUCAGGAGGAACACCGAUGGCGAAGGCAGGUCUCUGGGCAGUAACUGACGCUGAGGAGCGAAAGCAUGGGUAGCGAACAGGAUUAGAUACCCUGGUAGUCCAUGCCGUAAACGGUGGGCGCUAGGUGUGAGUCCCUUCCACGGGGUUCGUGCCGUAGCUAACGCAUUAAGCGCCCCGCCUGGGGAGUACGGCGCAAGGCUAAAACUCAAAGGAAUUGACGGGGCCCG
rnacentral:rRNA from 1 species